rnacentral:piRNA from 1 species
UGCUUCGAAAAAGCCGAUGCU